AAAGUCACAAAGGCUUUUAUUUAUCACUGCCUGCCCCCAGCUCCACCAGCCUCCAGACCCACUGAACCCCAAUUUUCAAGCCCCUAGACAACACUUAAUCUACUUCAGGUCUCUAUGAAUUCUAUCCUGGAUGUUUCAUAUGAAUGAAAUCAAGACUGUAAAUUUCUCUCUCUGAUUACACUUAGCAUGUUUUCAACUUUCAUUCAGGUAAGAGCAAAUGUCUGUUCUUCAUUUCUUUUCAUACCUAAUAUUCCAUUCAGUAGUCAUACUAGACUUUGGCCAUGCAUUCAUCAAUUAGUAGCCAUUAGACUUGUUUCUAUUUUUUGGCUACUACUGUUAGAAAUGGUAAUGUGUUUGUGAGAAGACAUGUCUUGAUUUCAUUAGUUGUAUUCUUAAGACUGGGGAAAAAAAAUGUAGUUGAAGGCUAGAGAUAGUCCAGGCUGUAAAAUACUUAUCUUGACAUGUGGCUGAUCCAGGUUCACUCCGCAGAAUCACCAGGUGGGUCCCUGAGCACACUGAUCCCUAAGCACUGGCAGGUAAAGGGAAGGAAGGAA